rnacentral:lncRNA from 10 species
AUGCUUUUCAAACCACUCCCAGAGGACCAUCACAUUUUUCUUGGGAAGGAAUUAGGAAACUUACUACUCUGCUUACAAAGCCAGUGGUUUUGGUGCUGGGGUCUGGUUUACAACCCUGGCUGGGAGACUGGCCUCAGGGAAGAGGGUAUCCCAGCCCAGGGCUCAAGGACUAACUCAUUAGGAGCCCUCCUUCCAGAAGGCGCUGUUCAUUUACACCAACAGGUGUAUGUAUACCUGUUGUUUAUGUCCAUUUACAAAAUUCUCCUAAAGCAAUUUAAUAGUGAAAGAAAACCUGGCACAUCAAAAACCGGACUCCGUAUUUACAAGAUUCUAUAGAAAGCAUACCAAAUCUUGGUCAGCCAAUCAAUGAGCACUCAGUUUGACCUCUUGUGAAGAAAGGCUAUAAAUGAAUCAAAGGUUCUGGUUGAAGAGAUGAAUGUCCACACACAGAAAAGUGAUAUGAACUGGGUACCAAAUCCACAUGUGAGGAUCAGCUGAUAAUCUGGUUACCAACCUCAGUACAAAGGAAAGCAUACAGCAAGAUCCAAUGAAGGAUUCCUGAGAAAAUGUGUUGGGAUCUCGAACCAGGUACAUAGCAGGUGCAUAUAUUUAUGAGGUACAGGAGAUGUUUCCUUAAUUGACUUUUAAAAAGAUAAAACCAAACCUCAUGAUCUUGCUAAAGUUGGGGCCUAUAGAAAAUUUCUUUUCCAAAGUUUAAUGAGCUCCACUAAUCAGGAAUGAAUAUCUUCUUCACUGGAAAAGCAUAAACGUGGAGAAAAUCCCCUGUGUCAAUCAAGAUUCAGCCAGAGAAUGGAAAUCAUACUAUUUCAACCAGGAACAAAUUCAAUUGGAAUUUUAUAAGCACACAAUUGUUGCUUAUAAACAAAAUUUUUUGGAUUUUUAUAAGCACACAGUUCCUUACAUUGAAUUUGUAAGGAGCAAAAUGUAAGCUCCUCCUUACAUCGACUGGAGGAGCAAAAGCCAGGAAGAAGCCACAUGUUUCAGGUCUGUGGCCUCAAAGAGAAAGAAAACUGCUGCCACCCAAAAUCGGGACCAUGCAAGUAGCUACUACCAACUUCUCAGCUUCCUGCAGUUCCAAAAUGGGUGAAAUGGCAACCAUUCACAUCUGGAAAGCCUACUCAAUUGCCCACCACCAUUUCCAACUUGUUUAGUGUUGCUGUAAAGGAAUACCUGAGGGUGGGUAAUUUAUAAAGAAAAGGGGUUUAUUUGGCUCAUGUUUCUGAUGACUGGAAUGUUCAACACUGAGCAGCUGCAUAUGGUGAGGACUUCAGCCUGUUUCCACUCAUGGUGAAAGGCAAAGGGGAGCCAGGGUAUGCAGAGAUCACAAGGUGAGAGAGGAAGCAUGAGAGAAAGGGAGGUAAAUGCCAAGCCAUUUUUAACAUCUACCUCUCCCUCCCCCUCACCCCAGCCCAGGGAAGGCAUUCAUCUAUUUAUGAGAGAUCUGCCCCCAAGACCCAAACCUCACCCAUUAAGGCCCCACCUCCAACACUAGAUCAAAUUGCAACAUGUAUUUUGGAGGGGACAAGCAUCCAAACCACAGCACCAGGGGACGAAAAAGAAAAGGUAUUCCUCUCUUCUACUUUCCAAACCCAUGUGAGAGCAUCUCAUAGGGAUAGCCCUGCCAAUUUGAAACUUUGCUAAGCAAGUGAGCCCAAGAAACAUAAUUUCCAAGCUUCCAGCUACAGCAAUACAAUGGGGAGCUUAAAGGGGUAUAAAGGUGCGAGUGUCAGUAAAUAAUUCUGAUGCCAGAAUUACCCCAGUAAGUAAGCAAACUUCCAAACCCCAUCUUCAUCACAAGAGAACCCAGGAAAAUGCCUCUUUGGUCACUGAGACAAUACAAAGAUAACAAAUUGCCUUUUAAGUACAUGUAAGUCAUCACCCCAGAUCUUUUGUGACCCCAGAAGAUGAACUAAUCUCUACCAACAAAUUACAGAGAAACUAGCCAGAGCCAAUAUUACAUAGUCCCCACCACUAAGACCCAUGAUGAAGAGAACUUCAUGUAAACGCUAAUGGAAUAUUUCCUUUAAUAAUAAAAGUUACCCUUAUAGUAGCAUCAAAAAAGAGGAUUUCCUCCUUGUAAGGCUCAAUUCAUUCCCUCCAAAUUCUCAAGCAAUAUUUAGCUGUGUUUUUUGCACAGAUGAUCAAAUAAUAAUGACAAAUGACUUCAUAACAUUUCCAACAUAACACUUUAGAGAAAUAUCACACUGCAUUUCAGCUUGAAGAAUACUUGUUUAUCCCUCUCUGGUUUUACAUUAUGAACCUGUUUAUAUUCUUUCAGUUUCGGUUGAAAGUGACCUUUUAGAUGGGGAUUUUCCAUACAUGAUUCCUUUUUCCGGAAGAAGAGCCAAAGUUUUUUCAUUUACACCAAGUUAUGAAAGGUUUCCUUUCCUCUAAAAACAAAUUUUCAAAAUAAUUUUAAAUACCUUAUUUUCAAAUCUUUCUUAUCUCUACUAUCCUAACAAGAAAAAAGAAGCAUAAAAUAAAGCUCUGUCAGCUGCAAAGUGCCAUCUUUUAAUAUCUUAAUAAUUGUAUCCUUCAUCUGACUCUUUUAAGAACCUUUGAAAGGAUGUAACAAUAAAUACGUCCUUUGGAUCUGAGAGUACAUUUUCUCCCUAAUGGAAUAAUGAAUCUGCCUCCAUGCCACACUAAUGACAACAAAUGUAUUUUACCAGGGAACAUGUUAUACAUAUGAAAUCUCACAUAGAAUCCCAAAGUGGGCAUCAUUUACAGGGAAGAGUUGUUAUAGAGUUGAGGCAGGAGUGGGACAUUUACAGCCUGACUCUCACAAGAGUUCUCAGGAGCAUAAUUUAGAAUCAUUUAAACCACACAGUUCACACUCUUCCCUAUCAUCUUUGACAUCUGGGUUUAGGAUUACAAAUGGAUGAUUUGCCCUUUAAGCUGCCUGCAGCCAUUAUAGCUAAUGGCAGAAGACCUUUCCAGAGAGUCAUUUCAGGAGCAAAGUGCAGCCUGGGCUCCCCUGGGAUAACAGACCAUUAGACUGAGCAGACAACAAUUCUGCGCUUCUUCUGGUCACACACCUGAGGAUUCUAGUCCAGGGCUAGUCAGACCUAGUUGUUUGUGCAUUUCUCUGGCCAACAGGUGAGAAAGAGCAGCAAUGGCCUGAAGGCUACCUAAUGCUUCUGGCUUGGUCAGCUCACCCUGAUCCAGGGCAUGGCAGGACUGGCCUUGGCUGUCAGCUAAGCUUACUGACCAUUGACAGUCAAGGCCCUGAGGAAAUCUGGCUCACUAUAAAUUCAGUGACAGAUUUUGUCCUUUAAUUAUUGCAUAUAAGCUAUUACUUUGUAUAGUAUAUUUCUUAGUACGUGCUCACCACAUAAAGGAGUGAUCUAGAGCCAUACUGUUCUGUCACUUACAAGCUCUGUGAUCUUGUGUAACUUAAUUAACUUUUCUAAGACUAUUUCUUCACUGGCAAUCUCAGGAUGAUAACAAUAAUACAUACUUCAUACAUUUAUUGAAGGGUUUAAGUGAAAUAAUGUGUAAAAUGCUUAGCACAGAGGCUCAUGUCGUAAGCAGUGGCUAAAUAA